AUUGAACGCUGGCGGCAUGCCUUACACAUGCAAGUCGAACGGCAGCACGGAGCUUGCUCUGGUGGCGAGUGGCGAACGGGUGAGUAAUAUAUCGGAACGUACCCAAGAGUGGGGGAUAACGUAGCGAAAGUUACGCUAAUACCGCAUACGAUCUAAGGAUGAAAGCAGGGGACCGCAAGGCCUUGUGCCCCUGGAGCGGCCGAUAUCUGAUUAGCUAGUUGGUGAGGUAAAGGCUCACCAAGGCAUCGAUCAGUAGCUGGUCUGAGAGGACGACCAGCCACACUGGAACUGAGACACGGUCCAGACUCCUACGGGAGGCAGCAGUGGGGAAUUUUGGAUAAUGGGGGCAACCCUGAUCCAGCAAUGCCGCGUGAGUGAAGAAGGCCUUCGGGUUGUAAAGCUCUUUUGUCAGGGAAGAAACGGUCGUGGCUAAUAUCCAUGGCUAAUGACGGUACCUGAAGAAUAAGCACCGGCUAACUACGUGCCAGCCGCCGCCGUAA
rnacentral:rRNA from 1 species